rnacentral:rRNA from 1 species
GACGAACCGUACGAACGUUAUUCGGAAUUACUGGGCUUAAAGGGUGCGUAGGCGGCGCGACAAGUUGGGUGUGAAAUCCCUCGGCUCAACCGAGGAACUGCGCCCAAAACUGUCGUGCUCGAGGGAGACAGAGGUGAGCGGAACUUAGGGUGGAGCGGUGAAAUGCGUUGAUAUCCUAAGGAACACCGGUGGCGAAAGCGGCUCACUGGGUCUCUUCUGACGCUGAGGCACGAAAGCUAGGGUAGCGAACGGG